GACGAACGCUGGCGGCGUGCUUAACACAUGCAAGUCGAACGGUGAAGGGACCGGUUUUUGCUGGUUCUGGAUGAGUGGCGAAUGGGUGAGUAACACGUGAGUAACCUGCCCCCUUCUUCUGGAUAACCGCAUGAAAGUGUGGCUAAUACGGGAUAUUCUGCGCCUGCUGCAUGGUGGGUGUGGGAAAGAUAUUGUUUCGGUGGGGGUUGGGCUCGCGGCCUAUCAGCUUGUUGGUGGGGUGAUGGCCUACCAAGGCGGUGAAGGGUAGCCGGCCUGAGAGGGUGGACGGUCACACUGGGACAGAUGCACGGCCCAGACUCCUACGGGAGGCAGCAGUAGGGAAUAUUGCACAAUGGGCGCAAGCUUGAUGCAGCGACGCCGCGUGAGGGAUGGAGGCCUUCGAGUUGUAAACCUCUUUCGCCAGUGAAGCAGGCCUGUCCCUUUUGUGGGUGGGUUGACGGUAGCUGGAUAAGAAGCGCCGGCUAACUCCGUG
rnacentral:rRNA from 1 species